rnacentral:lncRNA from 1 species
UAUAUAUUGAUGUAGUCAAAAAGUAGCUGGAUCUAAGGUCAAGCUUUUUUAUUUUUUAUUUUUUGAGAGAUAGAUAUAUAGCACGCUACCCACUUUGUUUAUUUCAUUUAGAAAUAAACUUAGCUGAAAAUGUGAAUCAACAUGAAUUCGAACUUGGGUCUUGGGUACUAAUCACCAAGCACUUUACCACUUGCCCUAGGGACAAUCGGUAUCAAAGGUCAAGCUUAAUGCAACAAAAU